GUUGUUGGCAUCCUGGCGGCUGAUAUCUGCAUCUAUUAUUUAAGUAUAACUGCAAAAUGCAAAAUCAUCUCCAGCUAUUUUUGCUUCAAAUGCAUCAAACUUUUGUUCAUUUUCGAUUUUUUCUAUUGCUAAACUCUGCGCAUUUCUUCUCAUACCCUUCAUAGGAUUCAGUAUUGUGGACUGCUAAUUUAAAAUAACCAUAAUCUGUGCGCUGCGUGCAUCUAUUUUCAUUAACAGCAUCCGACAACGAAGGCAGCAGCUUCCAGAAUGCUCUGUAGAAGUAAUUGAAAGGACUGCUUGAUUUGCUCCUGCUGCAGCCUGGUGUUCAUAGUCGGUGAUCAUCAUUAUUGGUGAUGAAGGCAGCACAGGCAAAUUUAUCACAAUAGGACCAGUUGCUCGUUCAGUCGUUAUGUACGAUGUACCGGUGCUUGUCGAUGGCACUUGGUUACCACCAUCAACUAUCUUGCCUGGCGGACGGAUCUGGCUAGGAACACAGCUCACAAUACAAACAGAUCCUCUAGCAGCCGCUAUCACCGAUGCAGAAGCACUGGUGGGUAAUUGUUGUCUUACAACAGCGGACAUCAUACCACGCUGAUUCUUCGGAGCAUGAACUUCGACAAGCGAUGCAAUCGAUGGUACUGCAGAUCCCGCCAAUGCCUGUUGUCUACCGAUCUUCAUGCCUGAUUCCUGCGGUAGAGCAUCAGCAACCGGUACCACUGAUGGACGGAACGGACGGAACGGACGGAAUGGUACAGGAACACCAGGUAAUGUUGACCGAUGAUGAUUACCAUCACCGGCAUUCGAGACCAGCGCUGACACUUCAUCCGUUACCUUCACCUGUUCAACAACACGGACUGGCAUUCUUUGUUGACUCGCGCUGAACGGCCACUGAAACCACCGAAGGCACUGCACUUGUUGUCGGAAGUUGUCCAACAACACGCACCGGCAAUCCGGGAGGACGGAUAGCACGAGGAAUGGCAACCGGAACCACCGAUGGCACUGCAUUUGUCGUCGGAAGUUGUCCAACAACACGGACUGGUACAUCUGACUGACGAAGCUACUUAUCACAUACCCGCAUUUUAUGUCCCCAUUCUUGGUGUUUCCGGGUUACUCGCCAUCGCGCUGUAGUCGGAUCAUACUGCACCUGUCCUGCUUCGAUUAAUGUCUCCCCAAAGACAAUAUUAGAGCACGCGUUCCUAUUCCUCAUCCUCCGGCACCGUCUGGAGAAUGUGGGAGUCACUGCUCUAUAAAAACCACCGGACUACCACAAACUGGAAACAGCGGAAAACCCCGUGGGUCACCGGCCACCGUGCUAAAUUGAAGCAAAGUUGAAGUAAGUCUGACAGUAUCUAAAGUAAUAGAAAGACAGUUUGAUAAACUGGUUAACAAUGUUUAUUUUUCAUUUCAGCUAAUAUGCCGUGCGAAAAAGCAAAAUAAAAUUUUCAUUUUAAUGUUUAUUAAGCUACACCGACAUUAUAUUUUUCAUCUAAAACGUUUUUGAUGUGUUUUUUCUCAUUGCGUUUAGGCGUCGUGUAUCAGAUCGCAACUGCUAAUAAUUUCGUCGUCUGAGACGGACUGUUAUGGAGGUACAAAAUCUUCAGUGAUGCGUUCACGCAUCUACGAGCCGGUAAUUGGCGGUAUCCAGAUCAUCGUCGUACUGUUAGCUUACCUAAGCUACCGAAAUUAGCGACAGUGUAAAAUCUGUGCUGUGAGACCUACAGUUGCCUCUCACAACCGUCCGGAAGUCGCAGUGAUUUGGUAACAUCAAGUGCAUCACCACCGCACGAAGCGCAGCAUAUUGACGCAAGCCCAAGCGGACAGCAACCAACUGCAGCAAACGUACGCCGAACGAAUGGUCGUGGUAGACGCGUUAGGAUUGCAAGGCGAUACUUGCGCUCUAAAACAGAUGUUUGGACCACAGAGGUGACGUUCCGAGAUUGUAAAAACAUGUCGGGCCCACAGUUUCAGAUAAGCCGUUCUCAUCAAUGCCAUACCAUGUACGGUCGGCUAGUUACACUUCAUCACGAAGGACAAUCACAUCUGGGUCACGGAAUGCUGCCAAAACAAAACGAUGAAGCUGGUUUAGUCCUCGAUGACGACGCAACUCCUGCACGUUCGUCGUCAUACUAUCAUUUCAACUGGAGGCAUGUUUGUUUAGGCGGCUACAACAAAUUGUUUGAACAUGUUCAAAACAACAUGGCUUCUCACAAUUACUGGUGAAUGCUGGAAAUCUCCCUGAUAGCCAUUUUCGUGCGCUGAAUUAGGUUUGUAUGAAAAAUAGUGUAUUUUUAGAAUAUUUAAUUAUCAAUAAAAUAACGGUCGAUUUGAAAA